rnacentral:rRNA from 1 species
AUGGGGCUCUCGCCGUCGCCGUCCUCACCGGAGGGGAGGUGGGACGACCUCCCCGACGAUAUAGCCAUCGCCGUCGCCUCCCGCCUCCAGGAGGCCGACGUGUGCGCCCUCGGCGGAUGCUCCCGGUCCUGGCGCCGCGCCUGCGACGCCAACUUCGUGUGGGAGGGCCUCUUGCGCCGCCGCUGGCCGGCCACCGCGGCCGCCAUGGCGGCCGGAGGGGCAGGGGCUUCCCGUGCGCAGGGAUGGAAAGCUCUCUACAUCAACAACCAUGGAAGAACUGCUGUGGCUAUCUCUAGAGUGGUUGAAUUUGUGGAGAGCAGCACACAUAACGGGUCGCUUGAAGCUGAAUGUUAUCUGAAAGCUAUGUCUGAUUUGGCACUGAUGGAGGAUAUAGGCUUCGUCAAUGUCCAGUUUUUCUUGCUUUCAAGAAAUCGCAGUGCGAUAAUAAAUCUUAUUGGAUUGCAUUACUCCAUUGCAUAUUUGCAUAUACUGCCCAAUGAGGUGGAUAAAGCACUUCGAGCUUGCCAGGUAGCAGAAAGAAAGGUGUGUGUGAGCUUGCUCAAGCUUGGUCGAUGGUUCUAUGGUUUUAGGUUGCCCGAUGACUAUGAGUCGUACAAAAACUCACUGAGCUGGCUCACCAGCGAUGACGGGGCAAAAGUUUUAGUCAUUCUCAACCGUGGUGCUGUCCAUGAGGUAUUUCGUCUCCAGGUCAGUUUGGUGGGUACAAAUAACUGA